ensembl:lncRNA
AUCCACUUCUUACCCAUUACUUUUUUUCUUACAGACUUCUUUCUGCAACAAGACAUACAGAACCUGAGCUUCAUUAAGUCCUGGAUUCAGGGACAAGAUGGCAAAGUAGAAGGAUUGAGCUCAAUCCUCGUGAGCACACCAAAAGUACAACUAAUUGCUGAACAACCAUCAAUAAAAAGACCAGAACCUACCAAAAAUAUAUUCUACAUCCAAAGACAUAAAGAAGAAACCCAAUGAAAUGGAAAGUUGGCGUCAUCCAGAGAAGUGAAAUCUUUGGGGAAAGGAAGAGUGUCUUUCCCAGCACGCCGAUGAGAAGACCAUCUCAGAAUGUACCUCAUGGGAAUAGACCACACGGCAUUUCCUGAACCGAUAGCCUGGGAGCAGACAGGACAUCAAAAGCUGGCU